rnacentral:lncRNA from 1 species
ACUUAGCCGACUCAGAUAGGGGUUGAGUCAUCUAAGUCUCAGGUUAGCUGACCCAGUCUCAGUGAGUCAACUAACUUGUGGCUAAACAGAAAGUUGAGGUUUCGAAAAGUCUAUGGUGGCACGCAGGAGGGUCGACCUAGUUUCGAUUUGAGUCGACUAAGUUUUGUGGUGAGUCGACUCAGUCUUAGGUGAGUCGACUCAGCUGUGGAAAAACAGCGAAAUCGGGU